GAGCGGUGGGCCUUUCGGGGUACACGAGCGGCGAACGGGUGAGUAACACGUGGGUGAUCUGCCCUGCACUUCGGGAUAAGCCUGGGAAACUGGGUCUAAUACCGGAUAUGACCUCCUAUCGCAUGGUGGGUGGUGGAAAGAUUUAUCGGUGCAGGAUGGGCCCGCGGCCUAUCAGCUUGUUGGUGGGGUAAUGGCCUACCAAGGCGACGACGGGUAGCCGACCUGAGAGGGUGACCGGCCACACUGGGACUGAGACACGGCCCAGACUCCUACGGGAGGCAGCAGUGGGGAAUAUUGCACAAUGGGCGAAAGCCUGAUGCAGCGACGCCGCGUGAGGGAUGACGGCCUUCGGGUUGUAAACCUCUUUCAGCAGGGACGAAGCGCAAGUGACGGUACCUGCAGAAGAAGCACCGGCUAACUACGUGCCAGCAGCCGCGGUAAUACGUAGGGUGCAAGCGUUGUCCGGAAUUACUGGGCGUAAAGAGUUCGUAGGCGGUUUGUCGCGUCGUUUGUGAAAACCAGCAGCUCAACUGCUGGCUUGCAGGCGAUACGGGCAGACUUGAGUACUGCAGGGGAGACUGGAAUUCCUGGUGUAGCGGUGAAAUGCGCAGAUAUCAGGAGGAACACCGGUGGCGAAGGCGGGUCUCUGGGCAGUACUGACGCUGAGGAACGAAGCGUGGGUAGCGAACAGGAUUAGAUACCUGGUAGUCC
rnacentral:rRNA from 1 species